UCCGGUGGCGAUGCGCUUAGGGGAAACACCCGUACCCAUUCCGAACACGAUGGUUAAGACCUAAGCGGCCGAUGGUACUAUGCUGGAGACGGCAUGGGAGAGCAGGUGGCUGCCGGAU
rfam:Lachnoclostridium sp. YL32, complete genome.